GACGAACCGUGCGAACGUUAUUCGGAUUCAUUGGGCGUAAAGGGUGUGUAGGUGGCGCCGUAAGUCGGGUGUGAAAUUUCGGAGCUUAACUCCGAAACUGCAUUCGAUACUGCGGUGCUUGAGGACUGGAGAGGAGACUGGAAUUCAUGGUGUAGCAGUGAAAUGCGUAGAGAUCAUGAGGAAGACCAGUGGCGAAGGCGGGUCUCUGGACAGUUCCUGACACUGAGACACGAAGGCCAGGGGAGCAAACGGG
rnacentral:rRNA from 1 species